GAACCACCUGAGAAGGCACCUCGUCCACCCACACAGCCUGUUGAACCUUACUCAAGAUAUGGUCCAAGAGCAGAGAUAAGCCACAUCUUUAGGGCACCAGAUAAGCGUCCACCUAAGGAGCUAUCUCUGACUUUCUUGGGUUUUACACUCUUGCCAUUCAUUGGAUUCUUAGUUGGGCUAUUACGUCUAGGGGUGAACCUGAAGAAUUUUCCUUCUUCAUCUGUGCCUGCCAUAUUUGCCAUCCUCUUCCAUUUAGGAAUUGCAGCAGUUCUGUUGCUCUAUGUGCUUUUCUGGCUGAAGUUGGA
rnacentral:misc_RNA from 1 species